UACGUAGGGGGCGAGCGUUGUCCGGAUUUAUUGGGCGUAAAGAGCUCGUAGGCGGUUUGGUAAGUCGGGUGUGAAAUCUCUACGCUCAACGUGGAGGGGCCACUCGAUACUGCCAUGACUCGAGUCCGGUAGAGGAGUGUGGAAUUCCCGGUGUAGCGGUGAAAUGCGUAGAUAUCGAGAGGAACACCAGUGGCGAAGGCGAGUCUCUGGACGACUCCUGACACUGAGGCACGAAAGCUGGGGGAGCAAACAGG
rnacentral:rRNA from 1 species